GGUAAGAUGGCUGAGUGUGCAAGUGCUGGGUUGUAGCCCCAUGAACAGAGGUUUAAAUCCUUUUCUUAUCA
rnacentral:tRNA from 1 species